UGGUGUGAGCCGGGGCUCAGCGCGAGCGAGGGACGACGGAAGGGACCGGCAGGUGUGGGCGCGGGGCCGCGCAGCCCGACGGCUGGAGCAGCAGGCACUCGGUACAUGGGCCAGUGAAGACGCGCAGAGAUCCCCUUGCAGCGGCGGAGGCGGAGCAGCGCGGGAGCAAGGCGCUCCUGGCGACCCUGUGUCCAAGCGAGCGGAACCUCGCGCUUCGCCCGGGGACGGUCCGAAGUCCGCGCUAUGGAAGAGGAGAAAUAUUUGCCUGAGCUGAUGGCAGAGAAAGAUAGCCUGGAUCCAUCUUUUGUGCAUGCAUCGCGCCUUUUGGCUGAAGAAAUUGAAAAAUUUCAAGGUUCCGAUGGAAAAAAGGAAGAUGAGGAAAAGAAAUAUCUUGAUGUCAUCAGCAACAAAAACAUAAAGCUCUCAGAAAGAGUAUUGAUUCCUGUCAAGCAAUAUCCAAAGUUCAAUUUUGUGGGGAAAUUGCUUGGACCAAGAGGAAACUCCUUGAAGAGGCUACAGGAAGAAACAGGUGCUAAAAUGUCUAUCCUGGGCAAAGGAUCAAUGAGAGAUAAAGCAAAGGAAGAAGAAUUAAGGAAGAGCGGGGAAGCCAAAUAUGCCCACUUGAGUGAUGAACUUCAUGUAUUAAUUGAAGUGUUUGCUCCACCUGGGGAAGCUUAUUCACGUAUGAGUCAUGCACUGGAAGAGAUUAAAAAAUUCCUGGUUCCCGACUACAAUGAUGAAAUUCGUCAGGAACAAUUACGUGAAUUAUCUUACUUAAAUGGCUCAGAAGACUCUGGUCGUGGCAGAGGUAUUAGAGGCAGAGGAAUUCGAAUAGCUCCCACAGCUCCUUCAAGGGGCCGUGGGGGUGCCAUUCCUCCUCCCCCACCUCCUGGACGAGGUGUUCUCACCCCUCGAGGGACCACUGUGACCCGCGGAGCUCUUCCAGUGCCCCCGGUAGCAAGAGGCGUCCCUGCCCCUCGAGCCCGGGGAGCACCAACAGUGCCAGGAUACAGGGCACCCCCUCCUCCAGCCCAUGAGGCUUAUGAAGAAUAUGGGUAUGAUGAUGGCUAUGGGGGUGAAUACGAGGACCAGACCUAUGAGGCUUACGAGAACACCUAUGCCACCCAAACGCAAAGUGUGCCUGAAUACUAUGACUAUGGUCAUGGAGUAAGUGAGGAUGCCUAUGACAGCUACGCACCAGAAGAAUGGGCCACAACCCGCUCCAGCUUAAAGGCACCACCGCCAAGGUCAGCCAGAGGGGGAUACAGGGAACACCCCUAUGGUAGAUAUUGAAGGUCCUUCUCACCUGUGACCUCACCUCAAAGACAAUUCAUAGCCUGUGGUCUCCACAUAAACAGCAACAAGACAAUGCUAAAUAUCACCGCCCUUGAAGGCAGUUUAGAGGGCUGAUAUUUCUUUUGAGACUAUCAGACUUGAUGGCUGAUGAUUAUUAAGGAAAUAUGUCGCAGGACUCAAAGGAUGACUAAACGUUAAACAGGUAGCCACAAGCAAAGAACACAUAAUUGAAUAGCGAUGUGAUGGGCUAACAGGAUGGAGCACAAAUAAGAAGAGGAUUUGGAUUUGAGCAAUGUGAUUCUGAUGUGCACUAUGGAUUACAACAACCAAUGGACUAAAAUACAUGUGGAAUAUAUUAAUAUUACAGAUUUAAAAAGAAGUUAAUUUGGGCUGAGAUUUUUAAAAGAUGGUGUCAUAGAAGAGAUGAGUUUUGAAAAAAAAAAACUCCAAAAUGGACAGAAGAGUGAACACUUCUUGAUACAGCUGAUUGGCAGAUGUGCCCAGAUUCUCUGGGACUCCAGCAAGUGGAAAGUUAUGGCCAAUACUGUGAAAUGGAUCUCACUAAAUUGCCCAGGCUGUCCUUGAACUUGUGAUCCUCUUGCCUCAGCCUCCUGAGCCACCCGGAUUAAAGGCAGGCACCACCAGACCUGGCUUAAGUAAGGUACUUUCUUCUAAAAACAAUCCUGCUCACUGUGGAAGACAUUGGAACCUCCAGUGGUUGGAGUAGGGUCUUUACCACAAGGCAAUCAUUCACCUGUUUUUUACCUGCAAAAAAGUGUUCAUUGGCUUAAACAGAAGUAACUUCCAUCCACCUGUGAUCUUCAGUUAUCAGACCCUAUC